rnacentral:ncRNA from 1 species
UAACGACCUUGAGCCGGCAGUGGUAACACUGAGGGUUAAGUGUAGGAAGUUAGGUUGUGGGGUUAGUAUUGAGCGCUGAAAUAAUUCAAAGUACCCUUAAUACAUAUGGCUGACAUGCUCAUGAACAUGGAAAGCAACAUCGACCUUGGCGAUAGAGGCGAGGCAAGGCCGGCAGGGCGGCGUCAAAGACC